rnacentral:lncRNA from 1 species
AUCUGUCAAGCAUCCGUUGUCUUCCGCACUACCGGAACGACACAUGGAGAAUCGUCACCCAUCAUGCAGAGGGCAUCCAAGAAUGGCAUGGGUACUCCUCUAGCCGUCUGAAGAAACUCCAUCCCGAGGAUGACUUGGAAAUCAUCCAGCGGCACCGACAUGAAAUUGGCUUUACCUGUCCACGAGCCGAUGCUGACAGGUACCUCCUUCGCAAGACCCGCAAUAGGUUGGGCCUUCGAAUUUACUGCUUUCAUGCGACUCCCAUCCUUGCUCAGUGUAAGUCCAAGACGUUCAGC